rnacentral:tRNA from 1 species
GGAGCUGUACUUUAAUAUAGAAGAGUUGUUUUGCAUACAAUUAGAAGCAUAGUAAUGCUCGGUUCCA